rnacentral:rRNA from 1 species
AUGUCCAUGUACAUCCUGGCAUUUACAUUAUCAAGUGCAUUGAUGACAGCAUCAAGGCCCUCCCAGAAUGCAUCAUUGAAAACAAGUCUCUGGACAGGCACGAUUCUGCAAAGCAUCAAUAUGGAAGCUGGAGUUGAUAGCACUAGCAGCUGUAGCGGAUACUGUAGAUUUUGCCUGUCCAGUGCUCCAAUCACGAAACAGAAUUGCCGGCUCAAGUUGCUUUUCUCAAUGACAUUAUCAAGUGCAUUGAUGACAGCAUCAAGGCCCUCCCAGAAUGCAUCAUUGAAAACAAGUCUCUGGACAGGCACGAUUCUGCAGAGCAUCAAUAUGGAAGCUGGAGUUGAUAGCACUAGCAGCUAUAGCGGAUACUGUAGAUUUUGCCUGUCCAGUGCUCCAAUCAUGAAACAGAAUUGCCGGCUCAAGUUGCUUUUCUCAAUGACAUUAUCAAGUGCAUUGAUGACAGCAUCAAGGCCCUCCCAGAAUGCAUCAUUGAAAACAAGUCUCUGGACAGGCACGAUUCUGCAGAGCAUCAAUAUGGAAGCUGGAGUUGAUAGCACUAGCAGCUAUAGCGGAUACUGUAGAUUUUGCCUGUCCAGUGCUCCAAUCAUGAAACAGAAUUGCCGGCUCAAGUUGCUUUUCUCAAUGACAUUAUCAUCUGUUAUAGUUAGCCCAUAUUUACCCAUAUAUGUUUUCUAUCUUCCAUAA